rnacentral:rRNA from 1 species
GUACACGCUGUGACUAGCAUAUCAAUAAGCGGAGGAAAAGAAACUAACAAGGAUUCCCCUAGUAACGGCGAGUGAAGCGGGAAGAGCUCAAAUUUGAAAUCUUAAAGGGUUUCCCUUCACGAAUUGUAGUUUAAAGAAGUGUUUUCUGUUGAGGUUUUGGUAAAAGUUCUUUGGAAUAGGACAUCAUAGAGGGUGAGAAUCCCGUAUUUGACCUUUACUUUCAACUUUGUGAUACACUUUCAAAGAGUCGGAUUGUUUGGGAAUGCAGUCCAAAAUGGGUGGUAAAUUUCAUCUAAAGCUAAAUAUUGGCGAGAGACCGAUAGCGAACAAGUACCGUGAGGGAAAGAUGAAAAGAACUUUGAAAAGAGAGUUAAACAGUACGUGAAAUUGUCAAAAGGGAAGCGUUUGACACCAGUGUUGUUUUUCUGAAAAUCAAUUAAAGAACUGUUUAUGCUAAGUUGUUUAGACUUUAUCAGCUAUCUGUUUAGUUUUGAGCUUUUCUUUAAUGCACUUCUCAGUUAACAAGUCAACAUCAAUUUCUUUUGCUGUAAAAAAGCUUGAGGAAGGUGGCUUGAGAUUCGUCUUAAGUGUUUAUAGCCUCUUGCCUAUGCAGUCGGAGAGAUUGAGGUCUGCAGCGUAGAUCCUUCGGGGCUAAAUGCAUUUGUGCUAAGUUAUAGCAUUUUAUAGACAACUUGUUGACUAUGAUUUGUCUUGUAGCUUACUCGCUUAUGUUAUUUUACCUACGCUUAGGAUGUUGAGUCGUAGAGCACGCAG